UUAAGUUCAGCGGGUAUCCCUGCCUGAUCCGAGGUCAACCGGUUAAAAAGGUUGGGGUGGUCCGACGGCCGCCGGCCGGGCCUCCAGAGCGGGUGACAAAGCCCCAUACGCUCGAGGUCCGGGCACGGCGCCGCCACUGCCUUUCGGGCACGUCCCCCGGGGGGGGACGAGGGCCCAACACACAAGCCGCGCUUGAGGGC
rnacentral:misc_RNA from 1 species